rnacentral:lncRNA from 1 species
UUUUUUUUUUUUUUUUGAUAAUUCCCUGAGAAUUCUUAUAUCUGAGAAAAAAAUACUAACAAGAAAUUAAACAAAAACUUUUGGGACAGGAAAAAAAAGGCUCACUCCUAAAUAUUAAGAAAGAGAAAACUCCCACUAGUAUCAAGGACUUGCCUAAUUCGAUAACCACAUAAUUUUGUCAACCAAAAUUUUAGUGCCAUACCUUUUGAGUUUUAAAUUGAAUUAGUAUAAUACGAUAGUGCAUAAAGGGUACGUAACGGGCGUCUAAUUAUUAUGUUUGUUUUUUCAUUGACAAUCAUUCUGAAUUAUACAAUAAUUAUUUAGUAACUUUAAAACCAUUUAUUGGUCUUGGUGAAAUUUUUUUUGAAAUUUUAGAACCAACAAAAUAUUUUUUUUAAAAAAGGCAAAUCAACCAUCGACUUAUUUUUGUUUCCUUUAAGAGAUACUCUUUUUUUUUUUUUUCUAUAACAUAAUGCCAGAAGUAUAUAUGUUGUACCAUUCACACAUGCCUACUCGUGGACAUUUGAUUAGCUGCAUCUGAAUGGAUCAAUCCUCAUCUUAACCUGUGGAAGCCCCAUUUUCUUCGAAGAUAAUUUCUCUCUGUCUUUGCCUAUUGGGCCGAUGGAUUGAUACCUUGACAAAACCAGGCCCCAAAGCCCAGAAUUCCGUCAUUCUCUUGUCCUGUUCGUUACGCAGAAAAAUACGAAAACUGGAACAUGGAACGUAAAGCCAAACUGAAAAUUGUGGUCCUAAAACGGCUCCAGUGCUUGAUUUUUCUCGCGCGGGGCCCUAAGACCGAGGUCCACCUUCUAGACCCGACGUGGCAAUGCAGUCUUGCCUUGGUGAUUGAUUUCCACGUCUUUCCCUAGAGGUGGCAAUAUGGAUAAAUGGUUCAUAAUUAGUUUUGACUUAACGGAUGGUGGAUGAAAUUUAUUCAAUCCAUUUAGAUCCAUUUAAUAAAUGGAUCUAAAUGGAUUAAAUAAAAACCAAUUAUCCAUUUAUAAUCCAUUUAAAUAUUUUGAUAACUUUUUUUUUUGUCAGAUCCCUCGGUAUGCAAUAGUCACUUUGGGUCCUGACUAAUCCUGAGUUGAGCUGGGUUGCACCCCAUAAGAAGCGCAAGCUCUACCCAUAAGAGUUGCAGUGCUUAUGGUAAAGGCUUUUUUAGGUGCUAAAAGUAAAAUGUUUGGUGAAUAUCAUCCCAUAAAAUUAGGAAUAAAGUUUUUGGUGUUAAAAACACUUUUAGCAAAAGGUUAAAUUUGGUACUUUUAUAGUAGCUUUUGUGAUUUAAAAAAUAAAACAUUGAAUUUAAUUAUUUUAUCCUAUAUUAUGAACUAAAUAAAGAGAUAAAUACAUUUAAAAAAUUUUAAAUUACAUAUUAUCCAAUACAAUAAGUAUUUAUUGAACUAUAUCUCCAAAUAAUAUAUUUUAAAGCAUUUAAAUACUUAAUAAAUACUUUUAUUAAAAACUUUAUUGAAAAAUUACUUUUUAAUAAGUUAUUGUAACUCCAAACAGGCCCUUAGUAGAAGGCAAAUAACAUGUGAUUAUUAAGCAACUAAACGGAAAAAUCUACAAAAAAAAAAAAGAAAAAGACGAAUAUAUACUGAACGAAGUACAAGACAAUAACAAAAAAAGAUUCUUCUCAAAUUUAACUGACUCAUAGAGGCCAGUUGUCAAUAUGUGUUUCUAGCUCCACUUCUUUCUUGUGAAAGCGAUGAUGUUCUCUAGUUUUGUGGGCCCACAAUGAUGACGCUUUCUGGAAGGAAAGAAGUUGUUCGUCAGUCCUGGAUCCGUCUUCCCAUUGCAUUCUAUUUUGCUAAAUGGAUUUAUAUGGAUCAAGUGGAUAAUCCAUGUAAAUCCAUCAAUUUAAUUGGUUUUAAAUGAUUAUCCAUUUAAAGUCAUCAUCCUUUUUUUAGUCAUCCAAAUUCAUUUAAACUUGGUUUAUAUGGAUGGAUAAAUGGAUUUGAAUUCAUUUUGCCACCUCUAUCUUUCCCUUAAAAAUGCAAAUUUAUACUCCACCUGUGGAAACGGUAACGGCUAGUAAGCUCACAUAGGAUUCUCAGUGUCAUUUUUCAGUGGCAAUUCAGUGUCACUUCUAUAUUUAUGUCAAAUGUUUUGUUUAUUUAAUUUAUCAUGUGUUGUUUAUUUAAAUUUCUUCUACCAUCACGUGAUAAGUGGGAUUGGCACCGAGUAGUGACACAGAGGAUCCCAACUGUAGUAAGCCUAAGAAUUUGAUUUCAUUUUACUAUCAAAACACUACUGGCUUUGAAGUAUACCGCCCACUAUUUUAUUCUCCAAUUCUUUUCUCACGAUUAUUCUAUUUGGAUUUCUUUCACUUUUUGAAAUUCUGAUCUUUUGCAUUGCAUCCGCGACCAAAAAUUCUGUUUUUGAUUCUCAAUGAUGUUCCUCUAUGAAUUAAGUUAAUGUGUUAAUUUGAAAGAGACGACAUACUUGUUCUUCAACUGCUACGCUGCUACGCUGAUCAAUGUGCACCUGUAAUACUUGACAAGUGUCACAGCUCACUUCACAAAAGAAUCCUUUCUUUGAAAAAUGGAAUGCAUGUUUUUCGCAUUUUCUCUGGUUUGUACAAUGUUAGAAUAGAGCCGUUCGGUUUAACGGUUAAAAGUUGACUUUCUUAUAUGUCCUGAGAGGAUCAUUAGAGGGCAAAAAUUAUUUCCUUUUUUUGGUUUUGUUAAUUUCAUAAAAAGGCAGUACAUAUUUUCUCCUGCGUACAAUGAAGGCAAAUUUGAUAGAGAAUUAUGCGUCAAUAUUUUUUUCUCAAAUUUUAAGGAAGUUUUUCUUGAUAAGGGCUGAAAUAUCUAUAAAAAUGUCAUUGAAGGAGAGGUUUUCAAUGUUAAAGGGCAUUGAAGUGCAAUCGUUAGAAUAGAAACCUGGAGCGAGGGACGUUUCUGAAAUUAUCCCAUAAUAAUAGGAAAACGGGAGGAGAUGAUGAUACACGUACGGUUCAAAUGCACGUGACGUGACCGUAAUACCAUAAAUCCAAAAUUCCAAAUGUGUGUGUAACAUUUGAUUUUUCCACUUUCAAUAAACGAUUAGUAUUUGUUUCUUCUGGUCCCGCCAUUUCACUCCUGGCAGAAGCGUGUUUGCUUGGCCGUCUUUUUUCCCCACUGCCUCGGAAAAAUUUUUAGCCGCCAAUGACUAAAUUUUUUAGCCACCAUACGAGUACGUCGCGGAAAGGCUAGUGUGCAUUGUUAAUCAGAAUUCAAGUACACUGGCGGUAUUGCUUGGCAGUUCUUGAAUUGGCACUUCCCCUCCGGCCUCCACUCCACGGGGAUCUAAAUUCCCUGAGAUGGCGAGCUGCCAUCUGCUACGACUCUCGGUUGUCUCUACUUCCACAAGACCUUCAAAACUCAAGCACGAAAUCUUCAACAGCAGAAGAAUCAACCCAGCUGCGAGAUACCACUGCCACUCCUCUCUGUCUCUGAAUCUAAAAUCAACAUCUUUCCACUGCGACCGCAAACUCCAGAAGAGGACUACUUUCCUACUGAACUCUGCUUUAGGAUUAGGCGGCUCCAAUACAAGAACCCAUUUCUCAUUUUCUGCAGCAAAUAAAACCUCGUGCCAUGUCAAGCUCAGAGCCACAGCAGUUCCUGAUAAUAUGCGGGCGAGUCCGCCAAGCCGAAUGACGAGCUGCUGAAGACUUUGCAGCUCGGGGUGAUGUUCGUAGUCUGGUACUCGUUGAAUAUAUACUUCAACAUUUUCAACAAGCAGGUUCCCUUUUCUUCUUUGCUUUGGAUAUCUUUAAUUCUUUUUCCCAUAUUGUAGUAACAGCAGAAGUAGUAAUUUUCUUCUAUGGUUAUGCUCAUGUCAUUAGCUUCACUCGUGGAAUGUGUGUUUCAUUUUCUGUAAACAAACGACUUUUAUAAGUGCAUUGCAGGUUUUGAAGGUAUUUCCACACCCAACAACAGUUUCAGCAUUCCAAUUUGGUUGCGGAACCAUGCUUGUACUCUUUAUGUGGGCACUGAAUCUCCAUAAAAGGCCGACGAUCAGCAGAUCUCAGGUAGGUGUGCUCUGCUGUUUUUCUUUUGAUUUUAGUUCCUUAUUUGACCUUGAUGACACUUGAAACUUUCAAUCUUUUUGUCACUGGUAAAGAUUAUACAUGUGCACAUUGUUUUGUAUGUUUCAGUUUGAAGCAAUAUUCUUGCUGGCUGCGGGGCACACUGUGGGGAACCUCCUAACCAACAUCAGUCUUGGAAAAGUAGCGGUUUCUUUCACUCAUACCAUCAAAGCCAUGGAGCCUUUCUUCACUGUACUUCUUUCUGUCCUCUUUCUUGGCGAGGUAUAUACCAACUUUAAUUCUCACCUCUUCAUUGGUUAAUGUUGUCAACCGGGUUAGUAACUAUGAUGUCGCUGUUUAGCACGCCCAAGAAGCCAGUAGUGAGACUUGCGGUUUCUUCUCCUUUUGGUUCACUUCAGUGUUGUAAAUAGUCGGUUGCGUUUGUUCUAGGUGCCAUGUUUUGAACAUAUCCCAGACUCCAGUCAUGUGACUAGAGAAGCAUCCUUCAUCUUGCCCUGUUUGUUGUGCUUUACUUCUUUUUGAAUCAAAUGGCCACUAUUUCCUUACCAUUUUCAUUUUUUGGGCUGAAGACCCUAACUUUAAGCUUGGACAUAAAUUUCACAGCGGCCAUCUGUCUGGGUAGUUGCUUCCCUGGUGCCUAUAGUUGGAGGAGUGGCAUUGGCAUCAUUCACGGAGACAUCUUUUAAUUGGUACGACCUUGUCACAAUAGAAGAACAUAAAAUGGGGUGCACAUCACAUAUUAUUAUGUUCUGGUUUAAUAAUUUGAAUAUCUAAACCAGGAUAGGCUUUGGGAGCGCAAUGGCCUCCAAUCUGACCAAUCAAUCACGUAAUGUCUACAGCAAAAAGGUCAUGGUAAAGGAGGUAUGGUCCAAUGCCAGUUUGGCGAGAAUUUGUCAUCAUGUCUGCAUUUGUGCAGUUCUGGUUUAAUAUUCUUGAUCAACAGUGUAAUUUUUCAUCCUUAAACAGUGGGUACAGUGAAAUCUCCCUGUUUACCAUGCUUUCGCAUAAGAUUCUUGGUUCGUAUUAUACCCAAUAACCAGCAGGCCUGUUGAACAGGACGCUUUGGACAAUAUCAAUCUCUUCUCUGUCAUGACUAUCACUUCAUUUAUCCUUCUGGUACCCAUUACUGUUUUGAUUGACGGGAUCAAGCUUAGUCCAUCGUACCUUCAAUAUGCUGUAAGUAAUAGUAACUUUUAAGGAAGAGUUUUUAGGGCUUUACAUUGCCAUCUUUCUCCAAUAGCUCUCCAUACGUCGUUUUGAAUGCCUUGUGUUCAGGCGAGUCAGGGCUUGAAUGUUAGAGAAUUUCUGGUGAGAUCUCUGUUAGCUGGUUUCUGCUUCCACAGUUACCAACAGGUAUGAUCCUCCCUGUUUUACAACAUCCUCUUUUUUCUCUUUCAGAAUUGCAGAUACUACACGAUUAUCUAUCCCAUGUUCUUGAAUAAAUUCUUUAAAUUUGGCAAUAAAGAUUGUUGCCGCAUUAAAAUCCAAAGCAGUCUAGAUUCGAACUUCCAAAUUGAAGCUGAUAGUCUUGAGGUUUACUUUAUUUUUAUCAAAUAACGACUGAAGCACCGGAAAAGGAUGAGCAAUUUAAUGAAAUCUCGUUCGUUUGACGUAUCAGUCGCAACAUUUGUUCUCGUGCACUCCAAUAUCACCUUCAUGUCUAAAUCAGUGUGAAUCCCCAUGUAAGGAUCUUACAUGAUACUUCAACUGGUGCAGAUUUCUUACAUGAUACUUCAAAUGGUGUCACCAGUGACUCAUUCAGUAGGCAACUGUGUGAAGCGGGUUGUGGUCAUUGUAUCCUCGAUGAUCUUCUUCCAACAUCUGCCUCAACAAUAAACGCCCUUGGUAAAUUCUCUUUGCUGCUUAUAAUAUUUGUAGUGUUUUUUCCGUUUCUGUUCGUGAGAGCUUGUGUUGGAGGCUUUUUUUUUUGGGAUACUAACUUGCUAUGGUCUGGUUUUUGCUUGAGAAAAAUUUGCUGACGGAUGAUCUAAUGCCGCUCUUGCUGAGUUUCAGGAACUGGUAUUGCUCUUGCUGGAGUCUUUCUAUAUUCAAGGGCAAAGCGAAUAAAAGCACGCCUAAGGUCGCAUGAAGUAUUAAAAAAAAAAAAUAUACAUGAAUAACGCAAGUGGAAUUUGGACGCAGAUUGCACUGCACCAACUGAAGAAGGGAGGUUCUCUGGUUUUUCAUUUUCUUGGAAAAAUAAAGACAAUACGUCAGCUGGAAAUAGCACUGGGACUUCCACAUUCUGUUGUAAUAGCCUGAAAUGUCCCAAGGUAGACGUAAAACGGCAUUAGUCUUCGAGCCCAACAUCAUCAAUCAAAUAAACAUGAAUUUGCAUGUAUAUGCGCCAGCCCAUUCAUUUACAGGAUAUCAAAACAAACGAGGCUCUGGCGCAUCUUUCCUCGCUAAUUUGGACAUAUCCCUGUUCACCCUUUUUCCCAGGGCACGAUUAGCUAACAAAAAAUUAGACCCUCGUCAUAUGGUUCCAAUCACCAAGAUUUGUGAAAAGACAAAUAACAGGCAUCCUCAUUCUUCAGUCACUAACUCCCUAACAUGAGCUACAAAAGAGUCAUGCAAGUUUGAUACUAGAUGCAUAUAAUCAGGGACAUCAGACACAGUUAUUUGUUCCUGGGAAACAGCCCGUCUUCAUCGUGAGGCGCCAAAGCUUCUUCAGCUUGAAUCAUUCCUUCCUCUUCUUCCUCCCCAAUAUGCAAAUUUGAUUGAUUAUCCUGCCGCUUAACUGGUGAAUGCCCCCAUUGCUGCUCACAUGAACCUCCAACGUUCUCCCUCUCAGAACCAUGGGAUGGAGACUGCAAGCUCCCCAAUGAUUGUCUGAAUCUUCUUUUGAUUUACUUCCAUUGAAAGACGGGAAAUCAAGAUCACCAAAUUUUGGAGGUGAACGGGCCCGUUGCAUCAUAGCUUCAUGAAAACUACGUACUGGUGGAGCCUGAUCAAACCUGUCAGCACUGCGGCUACGACUUUGGCCCUUGCUUCGGUUGUCACCCCAACCAGAUCCACGGAUGGGGCUUCUACUCCGACUACGACUUUUACUUCGACUAUGCUUCUGAGUCAUUUUUUCAUGAAAGCUUCCGUAAUAGCUUCCUGAGGCUUCAACAUCACGGGAAUUGCGACCAUACCUCUCACUGGAUGAAGAGAAAAAGACCAAAAAGGCAGUGUCAAAAAGCAACGGCAGCAAUAAAUGCCACCUCAAAGGCAGCAGCAAGAGAGAUGGGCAGAGAAUUUCACCUUGGACCUUACUAAACAACACAGAACAAAAUGAAAAAGUCAGAGACCUGUCACGAGGAGUCCCGGUCACAACCAGGUCCACCUCCUCUUUCAGAUGAGUUUGCCCAACUGCCUCGUCCGUCUCUGCUACUGUAAUCAGAAUCAUAACGGCCACCUCGACCACCAUCACGUCCACCAGGUCCAGAUCCCCAACGCCUAGACCUUCCCAUUCCACCACCACGUAAAGCCAUAUCACGGAUUUCGACAGGAACACGUUGGUUGGCACCUUCCAGAACUUUGACAAGAUCAGAAGCAUACUUAGCAUCCUGGUCACCAAAAAAUGUGUACGCCACCCCAGUGGCACCUGCCCUUCCAGUCCUUCCAAUUCUAUGAACAUAGUCCUCAAUUCCAGUGGGGAAGUCAUAGUUUAUCACCACCUGAGAGGUAAACCAUCCCACAAUCAUCAUGUAAAAAGUUUGUAUUCACACAUCACAGCAACCAAAAAUUGUAAAAAUAAAAAAGCUAAAUGGCUACAAUUUAAUAUCAAGAUCAAAAUCUGGCCCUCCAAACUUGAGCUGACAGUCAUCUACUCACUCAUGCAACAUAAAAAACUCAUGCAAUUGUAACCCCCAAAAAAAAAUCCAGCAACAUCAGUGGCUACAAACCUGAUAUCUUUAAUAUCUAGGCCACGAGCAGCAACAUCAGUGGCUACAAGGAUUGGAGAUCUACCAUUCCGAAACUGGCUCAAGACAAAAUCCCUCUCGCUCUGGGAUUUGUCCCCAUGAAUAGCAGCAGCUCCAAACUGGCGGGUUAGGUUGCGUGCAAGUUGAUCACACAUCUUCUUAGUUGAACAAAAAAUGAUUAUCUUUGAUCCCGGUUCUUGAGAUCGCAAUAUCUGCUCCAACCGUCGGUGUUUCUCCAUUGAUGAUAAGAGUCAACAUGCUGCAUUUGAAAAAUGAGAUGAAUUAUGAAUAAAAAUAACAAAAAUUGCCAAUAAACCAAGAAUCUGCAAAAAGAAAAUAAUAUUGUAGCAAUUUGUGAGAUUUGAUGUACAUGAGAUAAAAGGAUAAUUGGAAAACAUUUUUAUAGAAUAUUCCAAAAACACAUCAUAUCCGAACGCCAUAGAUUCAUGGGUCAUAAACCAGCCUGUGGGCUAGGAGUUGUGGCAGGGAAAAAGAUGUUACUAGUUAUUAUAUAUCACUAAAGAUAAUUACCUGGGUGAUAGACUUGUUAGCUACGAGCUCAUCAACAUUCCCAAUGUUCACCUGAACUGGAUUAACAAGGAGAUCAGCAGCAAUUUUCCGAACCUCCUUAGGCCAAGUGGCAGUGUACAUCAAGGUCUGCCUUCGAGUUGGCACCUCCUUCACAAUUUUCCUUAUCUGAGGCUCAAAUCCCAUGUCCAACAUGCGGUCAGCCUCAUCUAGUACCAAAUAUGAGACUUGAUCCAGGCUAACUCUUCUCAUCUCCAGAAUAUCAUUCAAUCGGCCAGGAGUAGCCACAACGACAUCCACACCCCUAUCUAUCUCCUUUAGUUGAGGUCCUUUCGGAGCACCUCCAUACAAGCACUUAAAAGCAGAAGAAAUUCAAGUUUCAGCACUAAUUCUCUGCAAUAAUAAUAACAUACAAAAGAAAUGGCAUAGGAGAGAAAAAUUGCACAGGCUGGUGUGAACAUAGCACCUAAUCACUUGCUCAUUAUUUGUAGUACCAAGCAUAUAACACUGGCAAUAAAUGUUAUACAUGUUACUUGUUUUUUGAGUUUCUUCACAUUCAUAAUUUGAUUUGCAUUUGUGCAAAACAAAAAAAAAUCCCUGAUCAAAAUUUCAUCAUACCGUGCAAGAUAUCCUUGAUGAUUUUCCAAAUUUUAUAGCUUCAUCUUGUAUUUGAGUCGCCAAUUCCCUUGUUGGUGACAGCACCAAAACAGUAGGACCCAACUGAGGAUUGUUGUGUCUGCGCUUUAGAUGAAUAAAACCAGGAAUCAGAUAACCCAACGUUUUCCCAGAGCCUGUCUUGGCAAUUGCUACAAUAUCGCGACCUUGAAGAGCAAUUGGCCAUGAUUGUGCCUGUAUUGGAGUAGGGGCAGAGAACCCAGCAUUGUAUACCUGGAAAAGCAAAGAAAAAUCCGCACCCCUAUAAGCAGAGGUACUGACUGCCCUCAAGAUUUCUGUUUGGUUCAUUUUUGACUUUAUGCAAGUGGCCCAUCCAAGAAGAAGCAUCAUCCCCCAAAGUAUUGGCAGCUAAUGCUUGCUGCCGCAAGCAACAAAAGGAGGACACCUCUUCUUCUGUUCAGACCAAGUGGCAGACUGAAUCAUCACCAACAGCAGUCCGCCACGAACUUAGAUGAUUCGGAAAGCCCUUCACAAAAAUUGGCCCACCGAAUAAAGGCAGUCUGAAUUUAUGCGAGCCCCCAAAGGAGGGCAACACAAUGUACGACAUUUAGCUCCUCCCUGGAGCAAAUAUCGCACCUACGACAAAAAGUACAGAUGCAAAAAAAGAUGCACGUGAGCCCCGGAGUUCAACGUGGACCUCCAGCAAUCACAGGACUUAUUUACAGAAUAAUUUAUUAACAUUGCAAAAAUUUAGAUAGGGUUCUGGUCAAGGACACAUGAAAAGGAAAAAUAGACACGUACCUCUCUCAGAAUCUCAGAUGGAAAACCAGUGGAAUCAAAUAAUGUCAAAGGUGGGGCACAUUGUCUCCCUGGUAUAUUGGACAGAGAAAAACGGUCACAAAGACGUAACACUUACCAUAUACCUCAGCUUUCAAUAGGAAAGAAGACAACUAUGAACAAAACUUUUAAUAGAGAAUCACAUGCUAAGGAAUAAUUGCCCUAAAAUUACACUUGCUAGCAUAGAGUAAUUAAAUGCAAAUGUAAUUGUACACACUUAACAAGGAAGUAAAAAAGGUCUUCAAGUUUAACUUGUAGAUGCAAUAUUAUUGAAUCAUUUAUUUGAAUUACACAGUGGCUCAUUAAUAUUUGUCGCAGGCAACUAUGAGCGAACCUUAACAACAACCUAAGUCAGAUAAAGAUAAAAAGGAAUUGAUGCUAAAAGAUGCAUCAAGUGAACCUAGGGCUCUGCACAAUCAAUUCAGCCCCACAACUUAUGAAUUAAGCCAGGGACCCACAGCUGAGCCCGAUUCCUCCCCUUCGUAAAUUGCAUUGAAAUCUUGGUGGACUAUAAAUAACUAAUUGAACAAAAACACAUAAGCAAAAUGUUAUGCACUUAAUGCUUACUGUUACACUUAUUUCAUGCCGACGACGAUAGGCCUCUCCAGAUAAGCCAGUUCCUGCACUUGAUGAUGAGUAUCCCUUCACACCACCAGUGCCCACUGUUACAUUUGCAACAUCACGAGGAUGAUAUGGUCCACUAUGCAGAUCCUAAUGCAAAAUAAUGAAAGUCAUUGGGUGACUUCACAAGAGCAGGCUAAGAAUUAUCAUGAAUAUCUAUGCUUUAAGUAAAUUAAAAAAAAAAAAACCUGAGAACUUCCAACUCCAGAGAAAACCUUCAUUGAAGCACCAUUACCCUCUGCUGUAUCUAUCAUCAUCAUCUAUGGGACUACUCUCACGGCGUUGUCCUUGAGAAGAUUUUUGAACAUGAACAGAUGAACUAAGUGGUUUAUGCAGCGGAGCAGAUCCCACAUGCGAAGAGGAAACAGGCCUCUCAUAUUGCGUAACAUUGGUCUCCGGAUUCCAAAAGUACAGAUAUCCAGUCUUACCAUCAACUAGGCCUCUCCAAGGUUUGGGGAGGGUAGGGUCCUCUGGUGCAUACCGUAUGCCUGCAGAGACAGUAGCAGUAGCCGCCAUUCUCAAGAUUUGUUCUUAAAAACAGAUUCCUUCCGAACUGUGCAGCUGGCAAGAGCUUUAAUGAAAAAAGUUUUCAAUGAGGUUUAGAGAACUAAAUGACCCUAAAGGCAAAAAACCUACAAAAUGCUUAAACAUCAUGGCAGUAGAAGAUGAGUAUAACUUACUUUGAACCAGUACGAAACACAUGGAUGAGAAUAAAAACACAAUUUACAGAAAACACAAACAGCUAAAAAAAUGAUAAUCGAGCUUCUACAUACUACAGCUAAAUCCAAAGUCAAUUGAGCCACCACAACCUUAGAAAUAAAACGGGAAACUAUUGAAAUUCUUGUUAACGACAAUAAGAAAUUUUCAUCACAAGCCAAAUGAUGAUAAAACUCGAAGCAACUCCAUUUUCAUAUCAUCCAAAGCAUUAGCAGAUAUAGGCGAAUAAAAUAAACCACAAGAAUGCCAUCUUAUACCCGCGUCUACACGUAAUCAAUACAAUCAACACACAUUUACAACUCUCCUGCAUGAACUCUACCGCAUGUACAUGCAACCAAGCCAAAUCAUAGGGAGAAUCAAAAGAAACAAUUGAAGAGAAAGGAUGACAUAAUUUGAAAUUAGAAAACCCUAACUUAAACAAAAGUUUCAUGCCUUUGCAAUCUGGAUACCCAGAAGCAACAUGCAAAGAGAACUCCUGAUCCGUGUGCCUAGAACAGAUGUGAUUGCCUGUGCCUACGAUUGCAGUAACAUAAAGAACGACCUCUAUCAGAUCUGUUUACCCUAGAAAUGAAAGAUUAGGGUUGCAGGAAAUCACCUGACGACGUCGGUUCGGGAGUUAAAAGGAGUGGGACCUCGGAGACCAAUGCAAAAGAAGCGGCUAGAAAUGCUCCACUUUCUCCGACCGACCUUGUUUUUCUCUCCCUCCCUCUCUCUCUCUCUCUUAAUAUGAAAACAGAUUUAUCAGUAAAAUGGACUUUGCGCCGACAGAGAGAACUACGCUUCCGAAGAAGGAGAAGCGUAGGUUAGAAAGAGGAAAGUUCAAGCAUGUCAAUGGAUAUUUAAAGCGGCAAAGCCCCCAGGCGUGUCAGCUAGCCGGUCUUAAAUCGAUGACGUCACUACUACAAUUUUUUAUAAACCUCCUUGAGGUUUUUAAUAAUUUCAUUUAGCACCUUGAGAUUUUAAAAAUUACACAUACCUCCCCCAUCAUUUAAAAUGAUAAUACUACCCUUAAAUAUUUUAAUGAAAUUCCCUUAUUUAAUAUGCUUAUAUUUAAAAUGACUUUUAAAAUUAUUUUUUCAUUCUUUGGUUCUUAUUCAUUUUUUUUAAUUUUUUUGCCAAUAAAACUGUAGAAUUACCGCUAUUACUCUAGUUUCUAUUGUAACCUAAUGUCGAACUAAUGAUUUGAUGAGUUAAAUUUAUAUGUAAUCCAAUAUUUUUGUGAUCUUUGUUUUUUAUUUUUUGGAUUAAAAUUAAUAAUAAAUAAAAAAGAAAUGACCCAAAGCCACUACUAAGUUAUGAUAAUCCACUACUAAAAAAUUCAUAAAUUCUAAAUGAAUUAUUUCAAUAUUUUCUUUUCUAUCUUAUAUGUUAAAUCCAUAAUAAAAUAUAUCAAAAGUAUCCUAUCAUAGUGAUAAAAUUAUUUAUUAUUAUUAUUAUUAUUAUUAUAGUUGUUUAUCAAAUAGUAGUUAUGGACAUGAAAUUUUGGCACAUUUUCCUUAUAAUCAUACUAGAUAAUCUUAUAAUUGUAUAGAAAAAAUAAAUUAAAACUCAUUACACAAGAGCAUUUUUGGUAUUCACUUAAAAUUUAAUCAAGUCAAUAUUAUUUUAAGAUUUUGUUACUAAAACUAUCAAAUCAAGGGGGUAAAUGUAAUUUUUAAACUCAGAGAACUCAAUAAAUUUAUCAAAAAUCUUAGAGGAGGUUUCUGAAAUUAUCCCUAAUUUUAAUGAGCUCUUUUAAAGUUUUAAAAAUUACAUUUACCUCCCUUAAUUUGACACUUGUGUAACCCAAUCUUAGAUUUGGUCAAAAUUUUAAAUGAACACCCUAAAAUACCUUAGUUUAUAAAGUUUAUAUUACUUUCUCAAACAGUUGUAAAAUAUAUAGCAAAAACUAAAGAAAAUGCAUCAAGUUUUCAAUACCUAUAUUUAUUAUUUAAUAAGUAAUUAUUACAAUAAUUUUAUCGCUACGAUAGGCUACUGUACAUGGUGCUUUACUUGUGAUACAUAUUUCUUCUAAAUUGGACAAGUAUUGUCAUAAUUCUUUUAGAGUUUGAGAAUUUUUAUUUGUUGAAACUGUCAUAUUUUAGUAGUAGUUUUGAACAAUUUCCCUUUCAAAUUAUUGUUGCUUUUGAUACAAAGAAAGAAAAAAGGUCAACAGUAAAAUUGGAUCACAUUAAAAGUUGUCAAAAAAAGAUCACUACUUCAACAUCUGGAAUUGAUAGCGACUAGAGUUUGUGCUCAUAGUUUUAUAAUUUUACUUGCAAAACAUAAAAAAAAAAAAGAUGAAAAUGAAAAGAAAAAAUAAUUAUAAAUUCCAUUUUCUCUAUAUGCAAUACCUAAUGUACAAGCGAAACUGACGUGUCAAGCUGAGACCAAACACAAGACGAGUUCAAAAUAAGAAGUGGUCAGGGCUAAAUCCCCCAUUUUAUGCCAAUGCUUAAAUUAGAAGUCGGAAGUUAUAUUGAGUGAGUUGGAUUGCAUACCUCUCAAGUGAGUAAGGUGCUGAUAUUUAUACUAAAGGAUAUAAAGGGUGGAAUAAUGAAGUUUAUUAGUAGUCUGAUCUCGUAUGUAUAAGACAUGGUGACGAUGUUAAUAAUAUGAUUAAAUUAUAGGGGUUAGCUAUCAUAUCAAUUAUUAGUCAUAUCAUAGUAAUAAACCGAGACUUUUAAUACCUCGCGCAAAUAAGUUUUCCGAGAUGAGUUCUCGGCGAAGAACAAUUGGGUCGAGGUAUCCUCCAACUCAUGUUAAGCGAGAUUUUUCCUUAGCCAAGGUGGCGGAGGCAUUCACACCCAACAAAGAAGUUUUACUAAAAUAGUAAGGUUAAUAUUGUCAUUUUGUUGGAUAAGAGAGUAGAUAUAAUUUUUAAAAUUUUGAGGGAACUCAUGAAAUUGUUAGAAAUCUCAACGGAGGUUUCUAAAAUUAUCCUUUUAUUUUCCCAACCCUAGUUAGUGCUUGACUCUCCCGAGUUUCAGCAAUGGUUUAAGCUUGAUCCAGGCUGGAUGCUUCCUCAAUGAUGAGUCCACAUGCCCCUCAAUUCCGCGUAAAGAUAAGCGGCGCUAGCUGAGAUUUUAACACUUUCCUCUUGCAUGAAUGAACGAUUAUACAUCCUUCCUUCUUUCUAGUUAGUAAUACUCCUUCCGUCCCACUUUGAUAGUCCUAUUUUUCUUUUUCGUCUGUCCCAAAUUGUAGUCUACUUCCCAAUUGAAGAAUGUAGGUGUAUUUUAAUUUUUCUAAAAUACCCUUAUCAAUAUAAGUAGUUGUUACUAUAAACCUACCCCAUUUAAUGAGAGUUAAUUCUUUUUUUACCAUCAAUUCAAAUUCCCAUAAAAUUGUACUUUAAUUAAUGUGAGGGUAUUUUAGAAAAAUAACUACCUAAAUUGAUUGUUCCAAUAAAGUUAACUACUUUUUCUUAAAUUGUGUGACAAGAAAAUCAGUACUAUCAAAGUAGGACGGAAGGAGUAAUUACCAGAACUAUCAUUUCUUAUUCGAUUCGCUUCAAGUAUUCGAUCAGGUAAAGCCACCAAAAUUUCACUCCUUUACCACAAAUCACGUAAAAUUUGGCAGAAUUCACAGGCGCUUGGUUCACUGUUUGACUUUUGUCUUGGUUAAUCCUAGUGUCGCGAAGGAGCAUCCCACCCAAAUAAUAAUAUAGUAAUAAUAAUAAUAAUGAUAGAAAAAUCAGUUGUCAUUUCUGUUUAAUUAAAAUAAUCUGCACUUGAGAUGUCCACAGGCAAUCAUCAUCUUGAUUGCCAAGUCACCCUGCAAUUGUUACUGCGAGGAGCUGGUAACGUUUGAAAUGACUGAUUUAGCAGGAAUUCCAAGAUACUUUGAUGUCACACGAAUUCCCCUUGGGCAUGAACAAGACCAUUAGCCAACCCUUCAUCAUGCAGAACAUCUCAUCCCGAGUCACGACCGAGAUACAUUGAUCAGUAAUUCCACCAAAUCAAGAGCUUGAUUUCAUCUAUUCCACUUUCGCUAAGAACUCGAGUCGAUUGCAGCUGAUCAAUUUCGGAAUUUCCAUCUGCAGUCUGUACCCUUCCAUAUCUUUCCGUGCCCGGAAUGCCUAUCAGUUUGCUCUGUAGGACUUCAGCGUCACACACACACACACCCAUGUACGGUUCCAUUAAAUCAGCAAAAACCUAGUUGGGAACCACAUGAUUUCACACUCAGUCACCAUUCUAGCCCAUGGAUGUGAAUCCACUAGAACUUAGAACAUGCAUCCGGAGUGCAGAAUGUGCUUUACGAACCCUGAACUAGCUGAGGCAGCAAUGCAAUUGUAUAUCCAAUUAAAUCAGGCAUCAUAUUCUUUCGAAAGCAAAAGAACAGAAAGUGAACAGAACAAAAGUAAAUUCAACUGGAACAUUCACACAACUGUAAUGGUUUCACUUCAGGACCAAGCUUCAAUUGUAUUGUGGCAAUUAGCAACAAUGCGCUGAGCCUUACAUACAGGCACAAAAGGUUACAUAUAUUACUGACGUUAAUCAUCCAUGUAGACAAGAAUAGAACAGAAAGAAGAACAACAUCCAUACAGCACUGUUACAUUCUGAUUCUUCUGUCAACAUAUGAAGGACAA